AAUCAACUCAGCUUAGCUGAACUG
rnacentral:miRNA from 1 species